rnacentral:lncRNA from 1 species
UUGAACAUAAUGUUCCAGCAUGUGUGCUGCAACAUCUGGUCUUUGACAACAUACCAAUGUUAUUGUAGUUUUGUUGAAGAAGGAACGCAUGUGGAACACAAUGUUCCAACAUAUGUGAAACAGAUGGGCUUGGUUAAACAUGUCAAUGUUGUUAUAUUUUUGAUCCAAAUUCUGGUUGAUAUUCAAUCAUGUUUGUUGCUAUAUUUUAGCAAUGCGUUUGUGUGAUUUAUUUUGACAGUUGUUGAAGAUCAAAUCAAUUUAAAUGGAGAUUUAAAUUUG